rnacentral:sRNA from 1 species
GUCUUCUGAGGCCCGAGCUUGGGGCAGGGGUUUCUUGACCCUGCAUUGGCAGUGUGGUCAGUGGUGUAUGACUGUGUGUUGAUGUCUGAGUGUGGCCAUAAAUGUGUGAAGGUCAGCUCUGCCAAGUCACAGGGCUCGUUAGGUUCUGAAUUAAAGUUGCUUCUUGGUUUAUAUCUCCACUGUUGUCUGGUUUCAUGUCUGGCCUGCUGUUUGUACUCAUCAGAAUUUUCAUCUUAAAAAAGGAAGACCCUGUUCCCAAUGGCCUCCGGGCACUCCCAGUAUUCUAUGCUGCUACCAUAGCAAUCAAUGUCUUUUCCAUCAUGUACACAGGAGCACCAGUGCUCGGCCUCGUUCUCCCUAUGUGGGCCAUAGCCCUCAUUUCCUUUGGUGUCGCCCUCCUGUUCGCUUUUUUUGUGUGGCUCUUCGUGUGUCCGUGGAUGCGGAGGAAAAUAACAGGCAAAUUACAAAAAGAAGGUGCUUUAUCACGAGUAUCUGACGAAAGCCUCAGUAAAGUUCAGGAAGCAGAGUCCCCAGUAUUUAAAGAGCUACCAGGUGCCAAGGCUAAUGAUGACAGCACCAUCCCGCUCACGGGAGCGGCAGGGGAGACGUCGGGGACCUCGGAAGGCACUUCUGCAGGCAGCCACCCUCGGGCUGCAUACGGAAGAGCACUGUCCAUGACCCAUGGCUCUGUGAAAUCGCCCAUCUCCAACGGCACCUUUGGCUUCGACGGCCACACCAGGAGUGACGGUCAUGUGUACCACAC